UACGUAGGGUGCGAGCGUUGUCCGGAAUUAUUGGGCGUAAAGAGCUUGUAGGCGGUUUGUCGCGUCUGCUGUGAAAAUCCGGGGCUCAACCCCGGACUUGCAGUGGGUACGGGCAGACUAGAGUGCGGUAGGGGAGACUGGAAUUCCUGGUGUAGCGGUGAAAUGCGCAGAUAUCAGGAGGAACACCGGUGGCGAAGGCGGGUCGCUGGGCCGUAACUGACGCUGAGGAGCGAAAGCGUGGGGAGCGAACAGG
rnacentral:rRNA from 1 species